rnacentral:rRNA from 1 species
CCUUAUCAUUUAGAGGAAGGAGAAGUUCGUACAAGGUUUCCGUAGGUGAACCUGCGGAAGGAUCAUU